rnacentral:rRNA from 1 species
GAUGAACGCUGGCGGCGUGCCUAACACAUGCAAGUCGAGCGAACGGACGAGAAGCUUGCUUCUCUGAUGUUAGCGGCGGACGGGUGAGUAACACGUGGAUAACCUACCUAUAAGACUGGGAUAACUUCGGGAAACCGGAGCUAACACCGGAUGAUAUUUUGAACCGCAUGGUUCAAAAGUGAAAGACGGUCUUGCUGUCACUUAUAGAUGGAUCCGCGCUGCAUUAGCUAGUUGGUAAGGUAACGGCUUACCAAGGCAACGAUGCAUAGCCGACCUGAGAGGGUGAUCGGCCACACUGGAACUGAGACACGGUCCAGACUCCUACGGGAGGCAGCAGUAGGGAAUCUUACGCAAUGGGCGAAAGCCUGACGGAGCAACGCCGCGUGAGUGAUGAAGGUCUUCGGAUCGUAAAGCUCUGUUAUUAGGGAAGAACAUAUGUGUAAGUAACUGUGCACAUCUUGACGGUACCUAAUCAGAAAGCCACGGCUAACUACGUG